GGCGGGACACGUGGUAUCCUGUCUGAAUAUGGGGGGACCAUCCUCCAAGGCUAAAUACUCCUGACUGACCGAUAGUGAACCAGUACCGUGAGGGAAAGGCGAAAAGAACCCCGGCGAGGGGAGUGAAAAAGAACCUGAAACCGUGUACGUACAAGCAGUGGGAGCACCCUUUGGGGUGUGACUGCGUACCUUUUGUAUAAUGGGUCAGCGACUUAUAUUCUGUAGCAAGGUUAACCGAAUAGGGGAGCCGGAGGGAAACCGAGUCUUAAUUGGGCGUUAAGUUGCAGGGUAUAGACCCGAAACCCGGUGAUCUAGCCAUGGGCAGGUUGAAGGUUGGGUAACACUAACUGGAGGACCGAACCGACUAAUGUUGAAAAAUUAGCGGAUGACCUGUGGCUGGGGGUGAAAGGCCAAUCAAACCGGGAGAUAGCUGGUUCUCCCCGAAAGCUAUUUAGGUAGCGCCUCGUGAAUUCAUCUCCGGGGGUAGAGCACUGUUUCGGCUAGGGGGCCAUCCCGGCUUACCAACCCGAUGCAAACUGCGAAUACCGGAGAAUGUUAUCACGGGAGACACACGGCGGGUGCUAACGUCCGUCGUGAAGAGGGAAACAACCCAGACCGCCAGCUAAGGUCCCAAAGUCAUGGUUAAGUGGGAAACGAUGUGGGAAGGCCCAGACAGCCAGGAUGUUGGCUUAGAAGCAGCCAUCAUUUAAAGAAAGCGUAAUAGCUCACUGGUCGAGUCGGCCUGCGCGGAAGAUGUAACGGGGCUAAACCAUG
rnacentral:rRNA from 3 species